rnacentral:guide_RNA from 1 species
ACCAACAUAGAGACAUUGCUUACGAGUUAAUAGAUUUAUAUAUAA